rnacentral:rRNA from 1 species
ACAGUGGAUGCGAGCAUCUUUGUAGCAAGUUAGUAAGGGCAUACGGUGGAUGUCUUGGCACCAGGAGCCGAUGAAGGACGUAGGAGACUGCGAAAAGUCUAGGGGAGCUGUCAACCGAGCUGAGAUCCUAGAAUUUCCGAAUGGGGAAACCCGGCCCCAGUCAUGUGGGGUCACCCACACCUGAACACAUAGGGUGUGUGGAGGGAACGCGGGGAAGUGAAACAUCUCAGUACCCGCAGGAAGAGAAAACAACCGUGAUUCCGUGAGUAGUGGCGAGCGAAAGCGGAUGAGGCUAAACCGCGUCUGUGUGAUACCCGGCAGGGGUUGCAUUCGCGGGGUCGUGGGACCUCUUGGUCAGUUCUGCCG